rnacentral:rRNA from 1 species
AGCGAACGCUGGCGGCAGGCUUAACACAUGCAAGUCGAACGCCCCGCAAGGGGAGUGGCAGACGGGUGAGCAACACGUGGGAACGUACCCUUUGGUUCGGAAUAACUUGGGGAAACUCAAGCUAAUACCGGAUAAGCCCUUAUGGGGAAAGGUUUACUGCCGAAGGAUCGGCCCGCGUCUGAUUAGCUAGUUGGUGAGGUAAUGGCUCACCAAGGCGACGAUCAGUAGCUGGUCUGAGAGGAUGAACAGCCACACUGGGACUGAGACACGGCCCAGACUCCUACGGGAGGCAGCAGUGGGGAAUAUUGGACAAUGGGGGCAACCCUGAUCCAGCCAUGCCGCGUGAGUGAUGAAGGCCUUAGGGUUGUAAAGCUCUUUUACCCGGGACGAUAAUGACUGUACCGGGAGAAUAAGCCCCGGCUAACUUCGUGCCAGCAGCCGCGGUAA